rnacentral:rRNA from 1 species
AUUGAACGCUGGCGGCAUGCCUUACACAUGCAAGUCGAACGGUAACAGGUCUUCGGAUGCUGACGAGUGGCGAACGGGUGAGUAAUACAUCGGAACGUGCCUAGUAGUGGGGGAUAACUACUCGAAAGAGUGGCUAAUACCGCAUGAGAUCUACGGAUGAAAGCAGGGGAUCGCAAGACCUUGUGCCACUAGAGCGGCCGAUGGCAGAUUAGGUAGUUGGUGGGAUAAAAGCUUACCAAGCCGACGAUCUGUAGCUGGUCUGAGAGGACGAUCAGCCACACUGGGACUGAGACACGGCCCAGACUCCUACGGGAGGCAGCAGUGGGGAAUUUUGGACAAUGGGCGAGAGCCUGAUCCAGCAAUGCCGCGUGCAGGAUGAAGGCCUUCGGGUUGUAAACUGCUUUUGUACGGAACGAAAAGCCCCGGGUUAAUACCCUGGGUCAUGACGGUACCGUAAGAAUAAGCACCGGCUAACUACGUGCCAGCCGCCGCCGUAA